rnacentral:tRNA from 1 species
AGUAGCUCAGUCGGCAGAGCAUCUGCCUUUUAAGCAGAGGGUCCGGGGUUCGAAUCCCCGC